AUUCUCAAUCAUCAAGGUGAGGUUAUCUGGAAGCUGAGUCAUGGCAACUGGACUUCUUUCUUAUUAAGUUGAAACGUUUCGCUACUCAUCCAAUGUGGGAAUGUAUGCCAUAGCUAAACAUAUAAAGGUAUUUCUUGUCAUGUUAAUAUCCAUGUUGUAUGAACCAUGUUGAUCUCCUCAUGUGAUGUAAUAUGGUGUGUUACUGAGCAGAGCGUCCUAUUGGCUCAUGUAAACCUGACAGUUGAUGUUAUGUAACCGGUAAGAGAAUAAAAGGAGGUGCCAGGCAUCAUUGGGGAAGCUGAUAUCACAGAGAGCUGAGCUGUCUUCACAGAGAGCUAUUAUCACUGAACCAUUUGAACAGCAACUUCAGCCAAUGAUCCUGAGCACGCUUUGAAAAGAUUAAUUCGACUGCAGUCUCCUUAUUUCAGAGGUCUCUCCCUCCGGAACCUUUCAGGGACCUCUCCCAUCACCACAGGUUGUUGGAGCCGGAUUCCAACAAGUGGUGCCCUGCGUGAGGCCUACUCCACUGUGUGAGGCCUACUUAACAGUGUGAGGCCUACUCCACUGUAUGAGGCCUACUUAACAGUGUGAGGCCUACUCCACUGUAUGAGGCCUACUUAACAGUGUGAGGCCUACUCCACUGUAUGAGGCCUACUUAACAGUGUGAGGCCUACUCCACUGUAUGAGGCCUACUUAACAGUGUGAGGCCUACUCCACUGUAUGAGGCCUACUUAACAGUGUGAGGCCUACUCCACUGUAUGAGGCCUACUUAACAGUGUGAGGCCUACUCCACUGUGUGAAGCCUACAUCACAGUGUGAGGCCUACUCCAGCGUGUGCAGCCUACUUCAGCGUGAGGCCUGCUUCUCAGCGUGAGGCUCCCAGAAGCUAAGAAGACCGGUGGAAGGUCACUCCCUCACCCACGUCCGGCAAGGAUUACAGCGCGCGCCUCGCAUCUUUUUAGAUCCCGGGGCGACGUGGUGAGACUUUUGCAAACUUGUUCCACAUUCCAGGUUGCUUUUGCUGAUUUCGUAGGGACUGUUCUCCCUAUCCCACCAAAGGACAAAAGGCUAACAUUUUUCUCUACUGUUUCUUACUCUUUAACCACUUGCUUUUCUCCCCAGCCAUUAG
rnacentral:lncRNA from 1 species